ACUGCACAGGGAGGCGGGGCCACAGUCCAGUCUGGUCUAGCAUUCCUCUGGGGCAAACCAGGCCGACAGGAGACCUGUCUCUCCCGCCAGACAGCAGCCACCAGCAGGGACGGCGAGGAAGGGCAAGGGUCCCCUGGGGGUGUCCACUGAGGCACUCCCGCCCUUCUCCCCCAGGCCUGCCCCCAGACCCAUCCAACCCGAAACCGACUCCCGCAUUCCUACUCGAGGAAGCCCCGAGUCCCCGCGCUGGAGCGUUACCUCCGGUGACCCCCCACAGCCUGUUGCCAGAUGGGGACUGGUGACUAGUUUUCCACAAAUAGAGACACAGAACAGUCUCCGCCUCCUGCAACUCGCUUCCCUGGGGCCACAUCAAGCCAGGUUUUUCCACCAGCCAAAAGACCUCAGCAAGACGUACUGAAUCUCCCAGACCAGCAACAACCACGUCAUCCACCCCUUUCCAUCCCCUCCCCCCUGAACUAGAGGACUGGUCACUCCUUCACUUUCCCAGGACCCUGCUGUACUCUCCCUGCCCUCUAAGUACACAGUUUUCCCAGGAAGCCUGGGUGAGCAGAGAAUUCCUUCCCAAAUAGCUGGUACGAAGAGAUGGAGUAAUCAGAGCCCUGGGGAAGAGAGCCGCAUCAUCUCCAUCCUAGACACCAUUACUUCUCAAUCACAACGAAGUUGAAGAAUGUUUCCCACUCCCGUGUCUCCACUCCUCCACACCUUUAAAUCCACAGCCACUUAGAAACCUCCCACAAACCCGGGAGCCCAAUAACACCUUGAAGACCAAUAUUUUAUUUUUUGGGUUUUUUUGUUUUUGUUUUUCAAGACAAGGUUUCUCUGUAGCUUUGGGGCCUGUCCUCUUGUAGACCAGGUUGGCCUCGAACUCACAGAGAUCCACCUGCCUUCUGCCCCCCCCCCAGUGCUGGGAUUAAAGGCGUGUGCCACCAACUCAUGGCCAUUCCUCAGCAUUUUCAAAGGGAAAAAAAAUUUCUGUGAAUUAUUAGGAUUGAAUAAUUUAUUUUAUUGUGAUAUUGGGAGUAAAUACAGAUAUUUUUAUUAAUAAAAUAAAAAUGAAUGAAAACAAGCAAUAAAUGAAGAUGACCACACUGCCCAUAAUACACAACCUCAAGG